rnacentral:lncRNA from 1 species
GCCUUGUUGCUCACACAAAGCCUGUUUGGUGGUUUCUUCACAGGGAUGUGCAUGAAAUUUGGUGCCAUGAUUCAGACCCCACUGGAAAUCGGACUGUUCAACUCACCUGGCAGCCACUCCCAGAGCCCCUGGAACUCUGGCCCAAGGCUCUCUGACUGACUCCUUCCCAGAUCUUCUCGGCUUAGCAGCUGAAGACUGACAUUGCCCGAUCACCUCGGAAGCCUACAGGACCAUCACGGAUGCUGUGAGUAACUCUCACAGUGGACGAUGCAGCAUAAAAUAUACCAGAAACCUAAACCACCGAAUCUUUCACAUCUGUUUUUCCUACUUUAAACAUCAAAGACUUCAAUUUUUUUUUUCUUUUUCGUUUCUGUUCUCUGUAUAAUACUGUAAAGAGCAGUGUGUAAAUGUCAUUGACUAAGGUUGAUAAAGUAAGCACUGAUAAUAAACUUUUCUGUAUUCUCAGAAUUCAUAUUUUAAUUUUUCAUACAACUAAUG